GGAGAGAUGGCCGAGUCCGGUUUAAGGCGAUAGACUCGAAAUCUAUUGAGCGGGUAACUGCUCCGGGGGUUCGAAUCCCUCUCUCUCCGCCA
rnacentral:tRNA from 1 species